rnacentral:misc_RNA from 1 species
GAAAUGCGAAAAGUAGUGUGAAUUGCAGAAUUCAGUGAAUCAUCGAAUCUUUGAACGCACAUUGCGCCCCUUGGUAUUCCAUGGGGCAUGCCUGUUCGAGCGUCAUUUGUACCUUCAAGCACUGCUUGGUGUUGGGUGUUUGUCCCCGUUUUACAUGUGGGACUCGCCUUAAAGUGAUUGGCAGCCGGCGUAUAAGCCUUGGAGCGCAGCACAUUUUGCGCCCCUCGGCCUGAACGUUGGCGUCCAGUAAGCCUAUACUUUUGCUCUUGACCUCGGAUCAGGUAGGGAUACCCGCUGAACUUAA